UACGGGGGGUGCGAGCGUUGUCCGGAAUCACUGGGCGUAAAGCGCGCGUAGGUGGCUUCGUAAGUCCGUUGUGAAAGUCAAAGGCUCAACCUUUGAAAGCCGAUGGAUACUGUGAAGCUAGAGUACGGAAGAGGCGAGUGGAAUUCCUGGUGUAGCGGUGGAAUGCGCAGAUAUCAGGAGGAACACCAAUAGCGAAGGCAGCUCGCUGGGACGUUACUGACACUGAGGCGCGAAAGCGUGGGGAGCGAACAGG
rnacentral:rRNA from 1 species